rnacentral:lncRNA from 1 species
GGCAAGCGAUUCAAGCACCUUUUUAAGGUUAAUCAUCCCAAGAAGUCGCAGCGGCGUGCCAGAACUCUCGUAAGGCACUACGACGGCAUUUGAUUUCGGGCCAGCACUCGGUGAUACAGAGUUUUGGCCGAAUGUCGUUUUGCAAUAAUUGCCAUUAUUUAAAUAUUUUUUUCGUUAUCCACGAUGGUACUAUAAAAUCAAAACUAAACGUUUACAAGUUACAUAUGACUAAACAAGAGAAAAAUUACCUAUGGUUAAAGUUUAUUCAGACUUUUUUUCAAUCAACAACGGUAAGACCUGAUAAAUUUAGAAGUAAACCGAUUUCUGAAAAGUCUUUGUCCUACCAGGUAAUGAUCAUGAUGAUUGCAAUGAUGAUAUGAUAUACGUUGUAAUGAUGAGCAUAUGUAAUUUAGAUGGUGAUCAUCAUAUCAUGAUGUUGGUUCACUUUCAUUUUUUUAUAGAAAUGUAUCACAAAUUUGUAUAUUUAAAUUCAGAAACUGACAUUCCACAGUUACUGAAAAAAAAAGAAAGUUGUAAAUAAUAAAAAAAGACACUUGCUCCAGCUAUUCCUCCUUUAACAUUUUUAUGUAUUGAAAAUUUGACUUCUUCAGAUCAUUUAAAAUUAAAUUUUUUUAAAACAAGACUCAGCUUCUGAAGUUUUAGAAAAGGAUGUAUUUUUAUACUUUUUUCAUUUGAAUAUUCUUUUUUAUUUUUGUAACUGAAUUCCAAUAUGUUCUGAAACAAUCUUUUAGUUAGUUUAUGUAAAUAGGACACAAAUAUGCAUCAAAAUUUAUCAAGUUAAAUUGAUGGAAAAUAAGUUAGACAACUGAUGGGAUGGAGACCCAUCUACUUCUAUGAUUUUAUGUAUUUUAUUGACUAGAAAGUUUUUUUUCUUUCUUUAAUGAAAAAUUUAUUUAAAAGAGUGCUUUAUAACGUGACAAUUUCUUAAUUUAUUUUUAGCGCUUAAUUUUAAAAAUGUGCUUUGAUUGAAGAAAAAUGAAGAUAUUUUGUUGUUGCCUAUUGAGAUGAUAUCAAUUUAGUUGCGUGCUGAUCAGUUGCUGGAUGAAUUAAAGCUCUCAUAGCUCCCUAAAUCAGUAUUGCAUCAUCAGUUGCAUCUAAUGCUAAAUUGAAGCACAUAGUAAACAUUAGUAAACUGAAUUUAACUGUUUCAUUAUUGUUAAUUUUUUGUUAUUUUAGUUUUUGGGGUCUUAAGUGACAUCCAAUGGAUGUUUAUCUGUGAGAUGGUUUCUUGCGAAUGUGUGCAAAAAAACACUUGCAUUGCAUUGGCUAAUAGUAAUCUCGCAAUUUUCUCUUGGAGUUAUUUUUAUAUAAUUUUUUUUUUCGAUGAUAAUGUGAACUUGAUUUAUGUUUAAAUAUUGUUUUAAAUUUUAUAUCUAGUGUUAUUUUAUUAAAUACAAUAGGGUUGAGGUGCAGAAUUUUUUUAAAAAGAUGUUUUUUAAUUAUCCUAACGUUUAUAUAUGUGAGUGUAAUGUAGAUUUUAAUCAUACAUUUUGGUUUAAUUGUUUACUAUUUUUCACACAGUUUAACUUUGUGUUAUUUAGGUUCUGUGAAAAUAAAAGCUUUAACCUCAGGAGCAUCAGGAUAAGAGUUUAAACAUAAAUUGAAGAGAUAUUUUUUGCUUUUUGGGGAUUGAAAUGGCGGACGAAAACCUCGAGAGGAACGUUCUUUGUAUAAAAAGUUAUUUGCAUAAAUAACAAUUUGAACUUUUAAUAACAUUUUUUUAUUUUUUA